AUUCUUUCGCAGUCUCACACUCACUCUCUCCUCCACAGAUUAUUGAACUGAAAUUCUCCCUAUUUUUCUACGGAGGAAUUUUCUCGGGUUAAAAUCCGUCCGAUUGUUUCUUGUUUCAUUGUGGCUGCUCCAGGAGGAUGUGUGAGAGUUAGGUCUACCAUUUGGGAGGUGAUUUGUGGAGGGGGAAUUGCAGUUGAAUGGGAUGGUCUCUGCCAUUGCAUUCUGGACAGUGGAUUGUGAAGUUCAACGGCUGAGGAUUCUGAAGUUAUGGAAAGCUCUAUUAGUAAGGAAUCAGUUGGUUUAUGCAAAGGGGGAUUGAGCUAGUUGCGAAUGCUGUUUUUGAUAUACCAACAAGAGAAGAUCUAGAUGGUCCUACUCCUAUAAUUUAGUUUGCCUCCACCAACCAUAAGGUUGCCCAGGGAAAGCCGCUUCCUGUGCGCAGAGCACCUACAGCUUGGGAGACCUUUGCUAAAACAAAAGGUAUUAAGAACUGCAAGAAAGACAAGGUUGUCUAUGAUGAACAGACUCAUUCAUGGAGUUCUGAUCGUGUGAAUGAUGAUAAAGAUGCUGCCAUCAUCGAGGCCAAGAUGACUGAUGAGCCAGGAGAGGUUGUCAAGGGACAAACAGAAAAGAAGUAGCUUGUUGAAAAGAAUGAAAAGAAACUUAUGCAAAGCGGAAUAGGUGCUCUGACAGCAGUUUACUGACUUUUAAAAAGCGAAAUCCGAAGCAAGCUGCUAAGAAGAAGAAGGAAUGGGUAACAAUCUUCUUAACUAUUCCAAAACUUAGGCGAAGGUGUCAGUUAAGGGAAUAUAUUUUUGGUUUAACUUAGGGCCAAUUUCAGUGUAACCUAGAACUUGCAUGAGUAUUACAAAUUUUUGAACCUAGGUAUGCAGAUCAUCUUCGUCAAUGUCUUUUGUCUCUAGUUCAUCACCAUCUCUGGUAUUAUGGAAAAUCCGACUAUAGUAUUACAUCAGUAGAUGAAGAGUCAGCAAGUGACCCUGAAAAUAAGGAAUUCAAAGGUAAUGUCACGAGUUUCUUUAGACCCUUUCUUUUACUUCGUAGUAGCGGUUUGCGGGUUAUAACCCAAAGGUGUCACUAUCCAUCCAUAAAAAAUCCGCCAAAACAAAAGUAACACAA